AGCUUUGUGCAGGGGCAGUAUCAUAGUCAAUGAGUUUAUAGGAGGCAUGAUUAUUGCAAGUUUAAGAACUAGCCCCAGAAAUAUGCAAAUCAAAACCACAAUGAGAUAUCACCUCACACCCAUUAGAAUGG
rnacentral:snRNA from 1 species